AUACGUAGGUGACAAGCGUUAUCCGGAUUUACUGGGCGUAAAGGGCGUGUAGGCGGUCUUGCAAGUCAGAAGUGAAAUUCCUGAGCUCAACUCGGGCGCUGCUUCUGAAACUGCAGGACUUGAGUGCUGGAGGGGAUAGCGGAAUUCCUAGGGGAGCGGUAAAAUGCGCAGAUAUUAGUAAGAACACCCGUGGCGAAGGCGGCUAUCAGGGCAAUACCUAGCGUUGAGGCGCGCAAACGUGGGGAGAAAACAGGAUUUGAUACCCUGGUAGUCACCGCCGUAAACGAAGAAUACUAGGUGUAGGGAGUAUCGACUCCCUCUGUGCCGCAGUUAACACAAUAAGUAUUCCGCCUGGGGAGUACCGCCGCACGGUGGAAACUCAAAGGAAUUGACGGGG
rnacentral:rRNA from 1 species